rnacentral:rRNA from 1 species
GAUGAACGCUGGCGGCGUGCCUAAUACAUGCAAGUCGAGCGAACGGACGAGAAGCUUGCUUUUCUGAUGUUAGCGGCGGACGGGUGAGUAACACGUGGAUAACCUACCUAUAAGACUGGGAUAACUUCGGGAAACCGGAGCUAAUACCGGAUAAUAUUUUGAACCGCAUGGUUCAAAAGUAAAAGACGGUCUUGCUGUCACUUAUAGAUGGAUCCGCGCUGCAUUAGCUAGUUGGUAAGGUAACGGCUUACCAAGGCAACGAUGCAUAGCCGACCUGAGAGGGUGAUCGGCCACACUGGAACUGAGACACGGUCCAGACUCCUACGGGAGGCAGCAGUAGGGAAUCUUCCGCAAUGGGCGAAAGCCUGACGGAGCAACGCCGCGUGAGUGAUGAAGGUCUUCGGAUCGUAAAACUCUGUUAUUAGGGAAGAACAUAUGUGUAAGUAACUGUGCACAUCUUGACGGUACCUAAUCAGAAAGCCACGGCUAACUACGUGCCAGCAGCCGCGGUAAUACGUAGGUGGCAAGCGUUAUCCGGAAUUAUUGGGCGUAAAGCGCGCGUAGGCGGUUUUUUAAGUCUGAUGUGAAAGCCCACGGCUCAACCGUGGAGGGUCAUUGGAAACUGGAAAACUUGAGUGCAGAAGAGGAAAGUGGAAUUCCAUGUGUAGCGGUGAAAUGCGCAGAGAUAUGGAGGAACACCAGUGGCGAAGGCGACUUUCUGGUCUGUAACUGACGCUGAUGUGCGAAAGCGUGGGGAUCAAACAGGAUUAGAUACCCUGGUAGUCCACGCCGUAAACGAUGAGUGCUAAGUGUUAGGGGGUUUCCGCCCCUUAGUGCUGCAGCUAACGCAUUAAGCACUCCGCCUGGGGAGUACGACCGCAAGGUUGAAACUCAAAGGAAUUGACGGGGACCCGCACAAGCGGUGGAGCAUGUGGUUUAAUUCGAAGCAACGCGAAGAACCUUACCAAAUCUUGACAUCCUUUGACAACUCUAGAGAUAGAGCCUUCCCCUUCGGGGGACAAAGUGACAGGUGGUGCAUGGUUGUCGUCAGCUCGUGUCGUGAGAUGUUGGGUUAAGUCCCGCAACGAGCGCAACCCUUAAGCUUAGUUGCCAUCAUUAAGUUGGGCACUCUAAGUUGACUGCCGGUGACAAACCGGAGGAAGGUGGGGAUGACGUCAAAUCAUCAUGCCCCUUAUGAUUUGGGCUACACACGUGCUACAAUGGACAAUACAAAGGGCAGCGAAACCGCGAGGUCAAGCAAAUCCCAUAAAGUUGUUCUCAGUUCGGAUUGUAGUCUGCAACUCGACUACAUGAAGCUGGAAUCGCUAGUAAUCGUAGAUCAGCAUGCUACGGUGAAUACGUUCCCGGGUCU